CACGAAACCAUGUGAGCUAAAUAAGCGGGAUGUUAGUCUAAGUGUGUAACAAAACAUUUUGUAAAGUUUGUUUAGGGGUGAUAGGCUUAUCAAAUAUGGUGAUAUCUUGAUUUCACUUAAAAGUUAAGUACAUUUACAGAUCAGGAAUGAUAAGGUUUCUGAUAAUUAUAAAUUUAAGAUAACGUAUUUCAUUGAUUUAACUAUUUGUGAACCAUUAAAAGAAUAUAUCAAUUUAAUAAUUAUAAUUUAAAAAGUGAAAGUAAUACAAUAAAAUAAUUAUUUAUAAUGUUAAUAUUAGUAAUUAAAUAGUUAUAAUUAGUGAACUCGGCAAUAUGACUUUCAACUGUUUAUCAAAAACAUAGCUCAUUGUAGUAUAAUGGGUGAGUUCUGCUCAAUGAGACAUUAAAUAGCCGCAGUACCUUGACUGUGCAAAGGUAGCAUAAUCAAUUGGCUUCUAAUUAAAGUCCUGUAUGAAUGAAUUUAUGAAGGUCAACUAUACAGUUAUAUAUGUUGAACUUACUAAGUAAGUGCAAAUUCUUAUGGUGAAAUAAUAGACGAGAAGACCCUAGAAAUUUUAACAAACGUUUUUGUUGGGGCAACAUAGUAACAGUGAAUUUACUUUAUGUAUAUGAAAUAAAAUUGAUAAAUUAAAUUACUCUAGGGAUAACAGCAUAAUCUAAGAAGGUUUGUGACCUCGAUGUUGGAUUAGGGAAUCGUAGUUUAG
rnacentral:rRNA from 1 species